rnacentral:rRNA from 1 species
AUUGAACGCUGGCGGCAUGCCUUACACAUGCAAGUCGAACGGUAACGCGGGGCAACCUGGCGACGAGUGGCGAACGGGUGAGUAAUGCAUCGGAACGUGCCCAGUAGUGGGGGAUAGCCCGGCGAAAGCCGGAUUAAUACCGCAUACGACCUACGGGUGAAAGCGGGGGACCGUAAGGCCUCGCGCUAUUGGAGCGGCCGAUGUCAGAUUAGGUUGUUGGUGGGGUAAAAGCCUACCAAGCCGACGAUCUGUAGCUGGUCUGAGAGGACGACCAGCCACACUGGGACUGAGACACGGCCCAGACUCCUACGGGAGGCAGCAGUGGGGAAUUUUGGACAAUGGGGGCAACCCUGAUCCAGCCAUGCCGCGUGCGGGAAGAAGGCCUUCGGGUUGUAAACCGCUUUUGUCAGGGAAGAAACGCUCUGGGCUAAUACCCCGGGGUAAUGACGGCACCUGAAGAAUAAGCAUCGGCUAACUACGUGCCAGCCGCCGCCGUAAUAC